GAAGCGGCGUGAGGAGAAGGGGGCGGGGCGGGGCGCCCUGCGCACGCGCGCACAUCGCGCUUCAAGCCCUACUACGCAAAGGAGCUGAGGAGAUGGAACUUGUCGGAGCAAAGAGCAGCAGUUUGAUUUACGGUAGUACCGGUCUCCGCCGGCGAGCGGAGGUCCCGGGCUGAACCACUGGCUGAGAAAAAAGACCCAGCCUGGAGAAGAGAAUUCUGGUAGAAGAAUCACAGGUUGCUCAAGCAGAGUCUAGUACCCUCUCCCUCUCAGCUUUCUAAUGAUAAGUGCUGCCAGCAGAAGGAGAAGAAAUGAAUACACAGACUCACAGAUAUCUGGAAUAUUGUCACAGUGGUAUAAAUCUCUCGUACCUAAGAAAACCCCAAACCGCAUUGAAAUUUAUGUUAAGGACAUAAAAAGAGGCUCCUUGGAUCAAAGGCCCAUCUACUUCUCAUAGUGACCUACCACAUGCCUGUGGGAAGCCUGCAGGCAGGAGCUAAGUGAAAUUCUGAUAUGUGCUUUAACAUCCCCAAGUAUUCCUUGACAUCUGCUUUAUUUGAAAGAAUAAAUCUUACAUAAAUGCAGUUGAUAAAAUGUUAGGAGGCUUAAGUUUUUGCUUUGUAGACUACAGUCCCAUACACACUUACCUGGGAAUAGGUCUUGUUGACCUCAGUGGGGCUCAUUUCUAAGUAGACAUGCAUAGGCGUGUGCUGUCAGUAACUGUACAGGUUGUCAAGAUCUGGUUUUACCUCUUCUAUGGCAUCAAAAAUACAUUGAUUCAAAUUAUGUUUCUCAAGAUCAAUGCCUUUCAUCAGCAUCUUUUUUCUUUUUGAUUUUUUGGCAAAAUCCACUCACUUCAGUAGUUAUUUGAAAUGGAAGACAAUUAGGGAAGAAGAGGACUGCCACAAGCUAGGUUUCAUGUUAUGUUUUUCGAAGAAGGGUGUCUUCACUGAUGAUUACAUUUGUUUUAUUACACCGAAAAAGUACAGUACACCCAAAGAGGAAGUGUGCCGAGCCUACAGAUCAACAAAAAACAGGAGAAGGAAAAUGCUGAAGUGUGGAAUACUAAAAUGACUAAUCAUUUCCUGUUUUCUGCAACCCCCAGAAUUUUCAUAUGGGAAACAUUACAGUCUUAUCUAUAGACAUGUGCUUGGAAGGUAGAAACCUGGAAGGUCAAAAGGUUACAAAAUGGCCCAGUGUCUUGGACUCACUUUCAUUCAACCGAGCAUGUGCUCACAACUAUGAAUCCUUUUCACCAAAUAAAGUUUUAGAGUUUUCCCAAAGAUGCCUUUGGAAUAUUACUACAGUACAAACUUUAGGGGUAAGGAGGAGGAAAUGGAGAAAAGGGGGGACAGAGAGAGUUACAACUGAUGGCGCUCUGCUGAUAAAGCAUUUGGGACAUGAUCAAGAUAAAGGUAAGCAAUAACCAACAACAGCAAAACCAUAGCAACAACAAUAAUUUUUAUACAGGUAUAUGCCAAAUAUUAUUAUUACAGUAUUAUUAUUAAUGCAAAAAUAUGCUUAUAAGCAGCUUACAAAACACUAAAAAGUUUCAUCACAAAUGAUAAACUUCCAAAAUAAACACAAUAAAACAAUCCCAUUAAUACAUUAAAAUUUAAACAUUCAUGAAACAUAAAAGUACCUUUUAAGCCAUCUUGAUUUUAAUAUGGGGGAGCUAAGCACAUACUUUUGUUCUUUUGUCAGGAUCAUGCCUAGUUUUUUUGGAAAUAUGCUAUUGGGAUUUGACACACAAUUCACUAUUAAGUAUGCUAGAAUCAGUACCCUUCAUGACUCAACCUGGGGGGUCACAUGCCUAGUGCACCUUCAUGACCCACCAGAUUUCAGUUACAUGCAAAUUAUUUUCUUUUUAGCCUACUUUAUGCUGUACUUUUACUCUUUUCUGCAUGGUGCACCUUGUUUCAAAAAUUUCACAUCCACUGAUGUGCCAAGUCAUUUAAGCUGCCUAACUGGGAACAAAUUUAAUAAGCAAACAGCACUUUUUCAUUUACCCAUCUAAAUUCAUUUAAAUUCAUGCACAUUUUAAGUGGGUUCCUUUGCCUAAAAAUAGCUGAUAGUUGGUAAAAAAAAAAAAAGCAGGCCUGCUUUUCUGUAGUGGAGAUUAAGUGACAGCCUCACCUGAAGAAUGUGCUAAAUGUGGGUAUCGCUUAGAGAUCUAAUUUCAUGAUACCAAAACAAAACUUUGCCCCCAAGGCUUGGGGAACUGGAAAACAGUUGCCAGCAUCUAUUGAUGAUGAGCAGGUUCUUCCCUCCCUGACUGCACCUGGCUGGACUGAUGGAUUUGGCUUUCAGUGCCAAAAGAGAAAGGUCAUCUGCUUCAACAAUGCUGUGUACAAAGUGUACUGUGUGCAGCUGUGUAUACAAAACUGUGUACAAUUCUUUUUUGCGGUGGGGGGGGGAACCAGUUUCUGCCCAUGCAGUAUCACAAUGUUGCAUUAAGACAAUUCUUCCUGUAGUGCAUUUGCACUAUAGCAGGGUCCUAAACAGAUUAACCUAAAGGCAACUCCCAAAUUUAAAAGAGCAUGAUAUGCAGUGUGUGUUACGGUAGCCUUCACCAAUCUGGUACAUUUUGGAUGCUUUGGGCUAAUAAUUAUUUAUUUUUUACCCUGCCCAUCUGACUGGGUUGCCCCAGCCACUCUGGGCGGCUUCCCAACAUAAUUUACGGAAACAACAACACAACAGAACAUCACACAUUAAAAGCGUCCAGAUUUAAGGCUGCCUUCAGAUGUCUACAGAAGGUCAUAUAAUUAUUUAUUUGACAUCUGACAGGAGGGCGUUCCACAGGGUGGGUGAGAAGGUCCUCUGCCUGUAACUUCACUUCUCGCAAUGAGGGAACUGCCAGAAGGCCCCCGGAGCUAGAUCUCAAUGUCUGGUCUGAAGAACGAGGGUGGAGCUGCUCCUUCAGGUAUACAGGGCUGAAGCCAUUUAGGGCUUUAAAUGGCAAAGCCAACACUUUGAAUUGUGCUUGGAAACGUACUGGUAGCCAAUGUGGGUCUUUUAGAACUGGUUUUACAUGGUUCUGGUGGUGGCUCCCAGUCACCAGUCUAGCAGCCACUUUCUGGAUUCCAAGUCUCCUCCAAAGGUAGCCCCGUGUAGAGCGCAUUGCAGUAGUCCAAGCAGGAGAUAACUAGAGCAUGUACCACUGGUGCGGCAGUGGCUAUAUAACAACAAAUUGCAUUAGUUUUACAUCCACACUGAGGAUCAUGGUUUGUUCUGCCCUCACAGGCAACAAUCACUACCCAGCCCGAAACCAUGUUUGUUGCUAGAUUGCCAAUGAGUUAUGACAUUGGACUGUGCUAUGGCAUAAAGCUAAGCUAUCUUUUGCCUACUCAUUCUGGGGGAGAAGGGAAGCAGGAUUGAUCAGGCUGCAUGCUCUAGCUUGCAACUUGUAUACAGUGUGAUUUAUUAACCCAGUAUGCAAACAUAUCCACUGCUAGCUGGUUCUUUGUCCCUCUAUAUUGGUGAAAGCCACAGAGUCAAAGGUUAAAGGUUAAACCACCAGCAUUCCACAUUAAGACAGUUCCCUUUAUAUUUUUGGCCAUCAAACCCAUCUCUGGUUCCAUAGAAGGCUGUAGGUAGGCCUACCUAUCAGUAUUAGCCAACUACUUGACCCUCACUUGACCUUUGCAUCAAUUGGAUGUGAUGAGCUUAGAAAAAGAAGUACUGGAACUCUGAGCUGGUGCAGUUUAGGUAACUGUGGUGACUUAGAGUUCUUUCCAAGUGUGAAUCAUGAAACUAAGCAGAAUUGGAACUGUAAGAUUGCUAUCUGGAAGGACAAUGAUGAGGUCCAGCAUGAGGUCACUCGGAGAAAUAUUACUAGUUUUCCGCAGGGUUACAAAGAACUGACUGGUGUUCUCUAGAAAUCGGGCAUGUAGUGUCACCAAUCCUAUUCUGUGGAACACUUAUCCAACAGUAAGAGCUGUUCGGCAGUGGAAUUUGCUACCAAGGAGUGUGGUGGAGUCUCCUUCUUUGGAGGUCUUUAAGCAGAGGCUUGACAGGCAUAUGUCAAGAAUGCUUUGAUGGUGUUUCCUGCUUGGCAGGGGGUUGGACUGGAUGGCCCUUGUGGUCUCUUCCAACUCUAUGAUUCUAACAGGCAGUCUCACUUUUGACUUCCAGACCUUUUGUAUGUAGACAUGCCUAUAUAACUUUUCUUCCUUUUUAAUGUUUUUAUGGUGUUUAUGGUGUUUUAUAUUUUAUUGUAUAUACUGUUGCACA